CGGGACGUAGUUCAGUUGGUAGAAUGCACGGUUUGGGACCGUGAGGUCGAGAGUUCAAAUCUCUCCGUCCCGA
rnacentral:tRNA from 1 species